UCCCAAAGGGGGAGCAAAUUAGAAUCCCAGAUGGAAAAGCAAGCUGAAAAUAAGGGUUGGCUCUCAUUCCUUUGUUCCUGCGCCCUUGUGUCCCUUUACUUUUACCUCAUGUCAAUCUAGAUUAGUAAAGCGGAUCCAGGCUAAAUUUUGCUCCUAUCAGUUGUGAUUAGUGUGAGUUGAUGAAAUCGGAUUAUACAGGCGGGCCUUGGCUUUCCCCCUUAGCAAGCAAUGCCAUGCGGCAGGAAAGCCUGCUGUCCUUCUCACCAGGCUGAAGCUUUCUGGAAGGUUCUACAGGAGGGAAUAGGUAAGAGAAAACCUGCUCACCUGAAGCUGCUCAGACACAAAUACAGAUGGGAGGAAUGAUUUAGUUCAUUUUUUACUUUUUCUUCCAAAUUCUAAUGCUUGAAUUGAAGUGAUUUUGCUAGGGUAAAAAUGAUAUUUUUGCAUUUUAUUAUAAAUUCUCUCCUUUAAGGGUGGUCACUUCAUCAAGAGAUUAAGGUCAUGAAAGUGACAAAAGGGGACAUGGGAAUUAGGAGUCACUUUUUAAAAGUAUCUGUUGUAUGCUAGGCACUGCACAAAAAAAUUUACAUAUAUUUAGGCUCAAGCAAUCCUGGAAGUAAGUAUUCAAUAUUACCACUUUAAAGAGGAGAAAAUUAAGAUUUAAAGAUAUUGAAUCCUUCUCAGUAAAGACUUAAUGGAUCAAAGCAAUGCUUUUUAUUUUUAGAUUCUUCUCUGAACUCAAAUGUCAUCAGGAUUUCUUUGAAUCUCAAUGUAUUUGUAAAGGAAUUGCUCACAUACAUAUUUCUAAAGAACUACAUGUUACCCUGGUAUAUCUAAGAAUUUCUUGAUAUUAUGGUUCUUAUUUGAAAAAUAAUGUUUUAGAAAACUUUAUAAGUCUUUUAAAGUAAAUUUUUGUCAAGUGUAAAGCAGCUAGAGCUACAGUUUAUUGCAUAAAUAUCAAAGCUGCCAGCAAAGAGAUCUGUUUGUGCUGUCCACUCAAUACAUACAUUCAAUGAUAAUUAUGAUUAUUUCUUAAAAUUGUUCCAUGUGGUAUUUUAUCUUUUCUUAAUAUUGCUCAAAACAAUUGCAGUCUCAUACGUCUGACUGAAUAAUUUUGGAUGAAUUUUUUGGUUAGAGGCAGUGCUAAUCAGUAUUGAAUUUUGAAAAAUUAAAUAGCUUAUAUUGCAAUUAUUGCAGAUCAAAGGGAAUUUUUAACCAGUUCAACAUCAAAAGCAAAAAUUAAAAUGGACACUAAAGUGGAGAUAAAAAUAAUUUUAAAAUGAAAUUUUAGCUCAAUUAUGAGUGUCCUUUGUUUCCUUCUAAGUGUGCAUGUAUAAACCUCAUCUGCCACAUUUUGCUCUAAGCUCCUAAGAUAUGUACAAUAUUCUUUUCCUCAGAGAAUACAGUGCUCUAGAUUGCUCAAUAACUUGUUAAUUUUUUUUAUACUGGGGAUCAAAUUCAUGACCUCAUGCUUUUCAGGUAGGGGCUUGUGCCACUGGGUUAUAUCCCUGGUCGUUAUAACUUGUUGAUUAAUUGCUUAUAGUUACAUUAUGAAACUUAACAUAGUUUUUUGAAUAUAAUUUUUUGGUUAAAAUUUACUAUAACACAAUACUCAUCUAAAGUGAAUACAGCAUCCAGUUAAAAUGUAAAUGAUAGCGAUCACUUAUUUAUAUUUGUAUUUUUGUAUUUCAAAGUUCCUAAAACUUAUGAAUAGGCAUCUUGUAUAACAUUAGUGCUCUAUAAGAAAGUUGCAUAAAAUUAAGAACAGAUCCAUGUGAUUCCACACAUAUUUAAUAUUUUUCUAGUAAUUUUUGGUUUUAAUUUACAGUUACAUUUUUGUUUCUCUGCAUGCAUGACCUGUGGUUGUUAUGGACUGAAUUGUGACCUCAAAGAAGAUAUAUUUAAGUCCCACAUGACUGGUGUCCUUGUAAGAAGAAGAUAUUUGGACAUAGAGACAGGAGGAGAGGGAAGAUAAUGUAAAGACAUCUAGGGAGACUGGACUAUGGGAAUAGUUAUUAUCUCAACCACAGUGUUAUACCAAGGAGAAAAAACUGAUUGCGACUAUAAACAAGGAUAAACUUGAGAUAGUUCUAAGACAAGGGGUGCACCUUGAGACCACACUCUUAAGUGAAAUGAAUGAGAUACAUGUAUAAAUAUUGCAUUGUUUCUCUGGUGUGAAAAACUGGAAGUGUAAAUAAGGACCAAAGUGUACAACAGGUAUUGUGAAAUAAGAAGGGAUUGUUCAAAACAAAGAAAAACUAAGGAGAGGGGAGGAGUAAAGGAAGGAAGGGAAAAAUGACAAGGAUAAAAUGGAAACAAAGCUUUAUGAAGGAGGGCAAGAGAGGGUAAAGUGGGGAAGGGAUUGGGGAAAAAGAGGAAUCGAUAUAUACAAGUACAAAUUCCUUAUAAUUGGUAUGAUCACUAUGUAGAACUAAAUUGUAUUAAUAAGUAUAAUUGAAAUUAAAAAAAAAAGACACCCAGGGAAAAGAUGAUCACGUGAGUGAAUCAAGGUGGCUACAAGACAUGGACUGCCAGAAUCCCAGAAACUGAAACAGGUGCGAGAAGCAUCGUUCUCAGUCAUCCGCAGGUGCACAGCCCUAAGAAUACCUCAGCUUUCCAGCUUUCACCCUGCAGUGCCGGGGGACGGUAAGCAUCAUUAAUUAAGUUACCCAUGUUUUAGCAGGUUCUUGUUCACAAUCCUGGUAAAACUAACAUACAUGUCACAUCUUUUUCUUUUCAAUGAUUCUUUUGCAUAUGUCUAGCUGUUUUUAUUAGUUUUGCCACUAAAAUUUUAUGGGAGAAAACAUUAGAAUUUAAUUUUGAAACUUGAGUUUACAGUAUGUCUAUAUUUUAUUGUACAUUUCACUUAAAUUAUUUGUUGAUUAUCUGCACAUUUCACACAUUAAAUUUUUAGGGUGCUCAAACUGUAACCCAAAAUCCACUUAUUUAUCACAAAGCAGCAACACUGCAAUUAAACCUGAAUACUGAGGUUUUAGUUUAGAAAUAAAACAACUCACACAUUAACAUCUUUUGUUUUAAAAGAAAAACAAAUGAUAUGCGUGCCCUAGGUUCAUCACCAAUGUAUUAGGCCUCCUCGACCUGAGACUCUGGGACCCUGAUGAGUGGAGGGGUGCAUAGGUUCAUGAAUGGGAAAAACAAUCACAUCUUUAUUUUCAGUAACUUCUAACUGAUGUUAGGCAUUUCAAUUAUGAGUAUUUACAACAAGCCAUAGUAGUUCUGGAGUACCUGUGACACCAGUAAUAGGAAUGUUAUUUUCAUAAUAGACUAUCCUUGUUUUAGGAUAAAAUUUGUUGCAACAUUGGGGACUGAACUCAGAGCCUUUGAGCUGAGCUAAAUCUUCAGGCUCUUUUUUUAUUCUGAGGCAGGGUCUAAUCAGUCAUAAAGUCACCCAAGCUAAGCUUAAACUUGCAAUCAUCUUGCGUUUGCCUCCCAGCGUGCUGGGAUUACAGGUAUGAGUCAGCAAGCCUGGCAAGAUAUGUUGAAAUUUCAUGUUCAUCUUCUAGCUAAUUAUCUACAAACUAAAUUAUCCAGGGGGAAGUUUGCAAUCUGCCUUAAAAUUAUAAUGGGAUGCAUAAAAAUAUUGAAGUUGUUUGAUAAAUACAUGAUCAUAUGAAUAAAUAUGUGAUAAAGCAAAUACAGUACAUGAGUACUGAUGGGAGAAUUAGUAUGGGUGUCUUAAUAUUCAAUUUCACUUCAUGUUUGAAAAAUCUGUACUUGAAAAUUGUGGUAGUAAUUAUACUCAUCAUCAGUCUUGUUACAAAAUAUAUAAAUAAGUAUAUAUAUUGCUACCCUACAGAUUUAGUUUUUAAAGUAUUUUGAAAACUGUAUUGCCAUAUUAAUAAUUUCUUUUGUGAUUCCUCAAUUUCAUAUUAUGCUCUUAAAACAUUCCUUCAAGAAAGACUUCAUAGGGCUUUACCAAUAAAAGAGACAUGGCACAAGACAUUAAGAAUUUCAUCGACAAGAUUAUCAUGGAAAAACAGGUACAAGGCAAUAUUAUUCCAUGAAGCUAUCUGAAAGGUAAAAAGCUUUCAACUUAUAGUAGAUAAAAAGAAAAAUAUACAAAAAUGAAAUCUCUGACAUGCCACGUAACAACCAUGAACAAAAUUAAAAUCUUCCUGAUGGAAAGACAUAGCUGAAUUAACUUUUGAGCUAGUACUCUAGUUCUGUACUCUAAAACUUAGUGCAACACAACAAUUACGGCUCGGUGGGCCCACUGAGUCCAGUGGGGGCAGCUUCCAUCUGGAGACUGCAAUCCAGGGAGGGUCAGAGAUCUCCCAGGGCUGUCAUCUGAAGAUAUAGCCAAGUCAUAGAUGCACUUAUGGGUUGGACACCCUGGAGGGCUUACUCGCAUGGCUAGCAGAUGGGGGCAAAACAUGGACGUCUCUAUGACUUUCCCAGGGCAAGAAAUCCAAGAAACUCUACGGGGAGCUAUAAAGAUUCUUACCUAACCUUGGCACUCACACAGCAUUGCAUCUACUGUAUUUUAUUUGUUAAAAGCGAAUCAGAGCCAGCUUGGAAUCAGAAGGGACCAAUACAAAGACAUGAAUUCUGGGUGGUAGCUCACGGGAGGAACAAGGACACCUGCGAGAGCAGCUGCAGCAUAAACUCCCACGCACAUCCAGGGCAAGGCCCGAGUGUGUCACUGCCUCUGAUGAGAUGGCUCUGCUCACUGUCAGUCCUGCUCACCUGUGUGCCUAUCACAUUUAGAUCACUGCCUCUCACAGAACCCCAGAUGAAUCCUUUGCCAUUCAGCUUCUUACACUGGCCUUGGACUCCUAGGAACUCCUCCCCUGGACAAUAAAUUAGAGGCACUGAAUACUUGUCUCAGGCUCUGCUCUCUUCUCAAAGGAAUGAGUUUGGGAACGGACAGGACCAGGGCCCUGCUUCACUUUCUCCAUUCAAACCCAGUGGCCUAUGAUGCGGGAAGAUGCUUUUCUGAGAAACUGUCUUCACACUAAUAUGGAUUUAAGAUGUUGGCGAGGAAAGAUAGCAAUGGGGCCGAGCUAUCCGGGCUGGCAUAGUCACUGCAGAAAAUGCCACGAGAAGCACAUGUCUCCAAGCUUGUGCUCAUCAAGGGCUUAAACAGGUACAGUAAACAUGGAGCAUCCAAUCAACUCAGAAAAGUGCCAGCUCAUCAUCUUGCUUUUCGUGGACCAACAUGGUGAACAGAAUCCAAAUCAGAGCCUUUCAAAAGCAUGUUCUUUGAUCUGAUUGUACUGCCAAUCAUGACUCUAAAGUUAUUAAGUUUGGUGGGGGAAAUACAGUGAAAUAAAUCAUACCAACAAAAAGGAUGAAAAAAACCCCAGAAAAGUACCCUGCCACAGUGAUGGCUUUACCCUUUGAAGUGCAGAUUCAUUUCAAAAUUUUCAGUGCUGCCUGGUCUGCAGAAAUAAAAAUUCUAUUAUUUUUUAAUGGUAAUGAGCACAUUAUAAUUGUGGUUCAGAAGUAAAAAAUUUAUGAAGUUAGUUAUUUGCUGGUGCAAAGAGUGCUUUAAUAAACUUUUAAAACCAUAAUUGGAGGUCAGAGGAAAAAAGACAUAGAUUUCUCUUAUAAAAAUUUAUGACCCUGAAAAGAGAACAGUCAUAAACACGAUACAAUUCUCACCCCUUUCUCUAUUCAUCUUUAGUCAGAUAAAAAUUCAUAGGCUAACUCUGUAGGGCACUUAAGAUUGUAAUGUCUAGGACACAUCUGUAUUGCUGCUGUUAUGGUUUAGGUCUAAAAUGAGCCUUGACAUGCUCAUGUAUUCAGAGGUAGGGCUUUGGGAAAGUGAUUGGCUCAUGAGCUCUCUAAUUUCAUGAAUGAACUCGCCCACUGAUGGAUUCAUAAUUUGAUGGCUUAAUUGGGUGGUGAUAAAGAUUUAAAAGGUGGGGCUUACUUGGCAGAACGGGUCGUGGAGGCAUGCCCUUGGGGACUCUAUCUGGUCCCUAGCCUCUUCCCUGGCUCCCAUUCUCUCAGUUCUCUGCUUCCUGGCUGCCACAAGGUGAGCAUCUUUCCUCUACCUUAUGCCCUUCUACCAUGAUGUUUCUGCCUUGCCGCGGUAUAAAGCUGUGUUGUUUGGCCAUGGACUGAAACCUCUGAAACCUUGUACCAAAAUAAAGUUUCCUUCCUUUUAA